GUCAAUCUUGUUCUUCUGACGACCAACGGCAAGGAGGUGGUGGUGGAAGGAGAUGUAUCAGCAACAACAGGGAGGCCAUUUCUUGGUCAUAGGCUGAGGACAAAGAGGCACAAGACUGAACAGAGAAUUACAGAAUAAAUAAAUGAAAUUUAAGAAAAAGUCAACACUUUUAUAUAUUCCUAAGAAAAACAAAUCCAACUCACUUGUUUCUUCAUCACUUCCUGAGGAACUUUCCGCCGAUUGUAUCAAGCGACGCAACUCCGGAGUUGAAGUGAGCUGUUUAGCUUCUUGUAUGAUAUUUGGCUUGAAGAACACAUCCCAUUUCUGAAGCAGCCUGGAGGAUGUCUCGUCACCAAAUAGGAGAGUGAAGUCUUGUUCCACCUUUAAGAACAACAUUAUUAAACUACUACUAAAUAUUUUCCAAUUUCAAGCCAUCUAAACAUUUAUUUUCAAACUUACCAAUCCUUUUGUAUCCAGGAAUCUUGGGAAUGUUGAGAGGAUAUCAUCACUCCUGCCUGGAUCAUUAACAAGCUUCUGCCGGUGCUGAAAGGUCUCUCUCAUCUUCUGGAGAAUCUGGAAAUUGUCUGCAGUAUGGUUGAGCAAGGAUAUGGCCUCUUGGCAGGCAUCCCCAUCGAGCUGCCUUUCGACAUUAACUGUCCUUUGGAAAUUUUGACCUCCUGGAAAAACGGCAACAGAACUGCUUGGUCAUAGUACAGAUCCUCGACGAAUCCUCCUUUGGACUGUUUUCAGACGCCAAGAAAUGUAUCCUGUGCUGCUGGCAGCAUCAUAGAAGUGUUCCUGUAAGGGAAAAAAAACAAUUGUUGUAUACUCAACUCAUGAGAAAAUACAGAGAAUUCAAUGUAAUGGACACAGAUUCAUGUCACAAUAUGCAAAUAUGGUGUGACUAUUACAUAGCCUUUCUUGGCAUAUGGAUCCUUGAGGGAAGGGAACAGCAUCACUAUCCCGAGAGCAUACUCUUCUCUGAUUGCUUUAGUGGGGAGGUGCCUGAGAGGGGAUAUUAAAUUAGUAAUCUAAAUUUAUGCAAUGGUCAUGUAGUUAUUUGACACAAAAGAAUUUGAAACAUACAUACCCAUGCUUAUCAACCAUGUGACCCACGAGUAUGUUGACCAUUUGUCUUCUUGUGGCAUCAGUGAGGGUUUUUGUAGUUUGGUACUCUUGUAGUACUGCUUCACCACCGGACUUGCUUCGUAGCACAGUUUCAAUCAACUAAUAAAAAACAAAACCAUGAGAAUGCCAAACAUGGUGAUAAACAGCUUUUUUAGAGCCUCAGAUGAAUGUCAGAUGUUAAAGAGUCAUGUGAAUAAAGUUUUUUUAACCUGUU